AUUACUAAUAAAAAAGAUUCUGAGCGAAAUUCAGUUGAUAGUGAUACUUUAUCAACAAUAUAUAGGUCAUAUUAUUGUAAAAUAAUUAAAUAAAAGCAUUAUAUAUUUUCUUUAAUAAUACUGUUUAAUGUACGAUUUACCAGUUUUUCACAUUUGCUGGGAAAUCGAAAAAUGAUCUCCCUAAAGUACAUCCCCAGUCAAAAUAAUCCUUUCAAAAAAAAAUGCUAUAAUUAUAAAUCGGAGAAAAAUUGCUGGUAGAAAAAUGUUGUCCACAGAUAAAACACAGUUGUAAAACCAUAAGCUUCUUUGCUCCACUCACAAUCUAAUAUAAAAGUUAUGUGCAAUUAUUGAUAGGACCAUAAACAAAUUUAAAAUCGCUCCCCUACCU